rnacentral:rRNA from 1 species
AACGAACGCUGGCGGCAUGCCUAACACAUGCAAGUCGAACGAGACCUUCGGGUCUAGUGUCGCACGGGUGCGUAACGCGUGGGAACCUGCCCUUAGGUUCGGAAUAACUCCCCGACAGGGGUGCUAAUACCGGAUAAUGUCUUCGGCCCAAAGAUUUAUCGCCUUUGGAUGGGCCCGCGUUGGAUUAGCUAGUUGGUAGGGUAAAAGCCUACCAAGGCCACGAUCCAUAGCUGGUCUGAGAGGAUGAUCAGCCACACUGGGACUGAGACACGGCCCAGACUCCUACGGGAGGCAGCAGUGGGGAAUAUUGGACAAUGGGCGAAAGCCUGAUCCAGCAAUGCCGCGUGAGUGAUGAAGGCCUUAGGGUUGUAAAGCUCUUUUACCCGGGAUGAUAAUGACAGUACCGGGAGAAUAAGCUCCGGCUAACUCCGUG